GGAUUUGAAGUCCCAUUGUUUUGUGCAAUUGGGGGUGGUUGGUAGGAGUAAUACCAUACUCCACGUGUGCCUCCAAAAUGGCUGGAAGGAGAUAAAGGCAAAAUCUGACCCAGGGUAACAUAGCAUUUUAGGAGGUCAUAUUAUCAAAAGAGUGCGCAAAAGACCGAAAAGAUGGCAUUUCUUCUGAGAGAUACGCAACAGAUUACCAAGUCAGUCAUGUCCCUUGC
rnacentral:lncRNA from 1 species